rnacentral:rRNA from 1 species
GUUAACUGUGGGCCGGGAGCGGGGGUAAGACAGGGGGGGCAGUGUUUGUGGGGAAUUCCGGGGCGUAAGGGGAGCGGAGGCGGCUCGCUCAGUCAGACGUGAAAUCCCCCGGCUUAACCGGGGAACUGCGUCGGAUACUGGAGGGCUUGAGUAUGGGAGAGGGAGGUAGAAUUCCAGGUGUAGCGGUGAAAUGCGUAGAUAUCUGGAGGAAUACCGGUGGCGAAGGCGGCAUCCUGGACCAUUACUGACGCUGAGGCGCGAAAGCUAGGGGAGCAAACGGGAUUAGAUACCCCAGUAGUC